GACGAACGCUGGCGGCGUGCUUAACACAUGCAAGUCGAGCGAGAAAGCUCCUUCGGGAGUGAGUACAGCGGCGAACGGGUGAGUAACACGUGGGCAACCUGCCCUAGGGAGCGGGACAACCCGAGGAAACUCGGGCUAAUACCGCAUGAUUCGUCAUGUCUCAAGGCAUGACGGGAAAUGGUAGCUUCGGCCUCCGCCCUAGGAUGGGCCCGCGGCGCAUUAGCUUGUUGGNGUGGGUAACGGCUCACCAAGGCGACGAUGCGUAGCUGGUCUGAGAGGACGAUCAGCCACACUGGGACUGAGACACGGCCCAGACUCCUACGGGAGGCAGCAGUGGGGAAUAUUGGACAAUGGGCGCAAGCCUGAUCCAGCGAUGCCGCGUGUGU
rnacentral:rRNA from 1 species